GGAAUGAUUGGGCGUAAAGCGUCUGUAGGUAGCUUUUCAAGUCCGCCAUCAAAUCCCAGGGCUCAACCCUGGACAGGCGGUGGAAAAUACCAAGCUGGACUACGGUAGGGGCAGAGGGAAUUUCCGGUGGAGCGGUGAAAUGCAUUGAGAUCGGAAAGAACACCAACGGCGAAAGCACUCUGCUGGGCCGACACUGACACUGAGAGACGAAAGCUAGGGGAGCAAAUGGGAUUAGAGACCCCAGUAGUCCUAGCCGUAAACGAUGGAUACUAGGUGCUGUGCGACUCGACCCGUGCAGUGCUGUAGCUAACGCGUUAAGUAUCCCGCC
rnacentral:ncRNA from 1 species